rnacentral:rRNA from 1 species
GAUGAACGCUGGCGGCGUGCCUAACACAUGCAAGUCGAGCGAGGGUUUGCUCAGUAUUGAGUAUUCUAAGACUAGAAUGUUCAAUUCUGAGCAAAACCAAGCGGCGGACGGGUGAGUAACGCGUGGGUAACCUGCCCUAUACACAUGGAUAACAUACUGAAAAGUUUACUAAUACAUGAUAAUAUAUAUUUGCGGCAUCGCAGAUAUAUCAAAGUGUUAGCGGCAUAGGAUGGACCCGCGUCUGAUUAGCUAGUUGGUGAGAUAACUGCCCACCAAGGCGACGAUCAGUAGCCGACCUGAGAGGGUGAUCGGCCACAUUGGAACUGAGACACGGUCCAAACUCCUACGGGAGGCAGCAGUGGGGAAUAUUGCACAAUGGGCGAAAGCCUGAUGCAGCAACGCCGCGUGAACGAUGAAGGUCUUCGGAUCGUAAAGUUCUGUUGCAGGGGAAGAUAAUGACGGUACCCUGUGAGGAAGCCCCGGCUAACUACGUGCCAGCAGCCGCGGUAAUACGUAGGGGGCUAGCGUUAUCCGGAUUUACUGGGCGUAAAGGGUGCGUAGGUGGUCCUUCAAGUCGGUGGUUAAAGGCUACGGCUCAACCGUAGUAAGCCGCCGAAACUGGAGGACUUGAGUGCAGGAGAGGAAAGUGGAAUUCCCAGUGUAGCGGUGAAAUGCGUAGAUAUUGGGAGGAACACCAGUAGCGAAGGCGGCUUUCUGGACUGCAACUGACACUGAGGCACGAAAGCGUGGGUAGCAAACAGG